rnacentral:rRNA from 1 species
CACCGCGGGGAUAGCACAUUGAAUGGACCAGUUCCCAUUGAAUCACUGAAGUGAAGCAACGUUGGGCUUGGUAUGUGUUCGGACCGGUGACAACCUGAGUAAAUCUUUUGCUGCUGGCU